rnacentral:rRNA from 1 species
UACGUAGGGUGCGAGCGUUAAUCGGAAUUACUGGGCGUAAAGCGUGCGCAGGCGGUUCGCUGUGUCCGAUGUGAAAGCCCCGGGCUUAACCUGGGAAUGGCAUUGGAAACUGGCGGGCUUGAGUGUGGCAGAGGGGGGUGGAAUUCCGCGUGUAGCAGUGAAAUGCGUAGAGAUGUGGAGGAACACCGAUGGCGAAGGCAGCCUUCUGGGCCAACACUGACGCUCAUGCACGAAAGCGUGGGGAGCAAACAGG